rnacentral:rRNA from 1 species
AUUGAACGCUGGCGGCAGGCCUAACACAUGCAAGUCGAACGGUAACAGGAAGAAGCUUGCUUCUUUGCUGACGAGUGGCGGACGGGUGAGUUAUGUCUGGGAAACUGCCUGAUGGAGGGGGAUAACUACUGGAAACGGUAGCUACUACCGCCUAACGUCGCAAGACCAAAGAGGGGGACCUUCCGGCCUCUUGCCAUCGGAUGUGCCCAGAUGGGAUUAGCUAGUAGGUGGGGUAACGGCUCACCUAGGCGACGAUCUCUAGCUGGUCUGAGAGGAUGACCAGCCACACUGGAACUGAGACACGGUCCAGACUCCUACGGGAGGCAGCAGUGGGGAAUAUUGCACAAUGGGCGAAAGCCUGAUGCAGCCAUGCCGCGUGUAUGAAGAAGGCCUUCGGGUUGUAAAGUACUUUCAGCGGGGAGGAAGGGAGUAAAGUUAAUACCCCGCUGUUCUGACGGUACCCAAAGAAUAAGCACCGGCUAACUUCGUG